rnacentral:lncRNA from 1 species
GUGUACUCAGUAAUCCUUUCACUGACCAUUUGUUGGGUACGUGGCCAAGCUCAUACGCUGCUGCUCCAGGAAGAGAAAGAUAGAAGUGAUUGUGCCUUCACUGCAUGCUUGCCAGCAGCAAUGAUAGAUGGAAGGAAAUCCUGCCCUACAAUCAUAGGAAGAGGAGCACUACAUUCUCAAGCAGGAUGCUGUGAAUGUUUCUCUCAGCCAUUGCUGCAGUAGGCGUUAUCUCUGUGAUUAUUUCUGCUACGACCAGAAGAGGGCAUUCUUUCUCUUUGGAACCCUGACACGAAGAAUGAAACAAAAGCUGUUGUAAAACCUAGGUACAUUUUGCCACUAUUCUUUUGCAUUUUUUACUAAAACUUUUUGAAGUUUAAAAAUUGAACUGUUGAAAAAGG